rnacentral:rRNA from 1 species
CAAGCGGAUCUCUUAAAGCUGUUCUCAGUUCGGACUGCAGUCUGCAACUCGACUGCACGAAGCUGGAAUCGCUAGUAAUCGCGGAUCAGCACGCCGCGGUGAAUACGUUCCCGGGCCUUGUACACACCGCCCGUCACACCAUGGAAGUCUGCAAUGCCCGAAGCCGGUGGCCUAACCACUUAUGUGGAAGGAGCCGUCUAAGGCAGGGCAGAUGACUGGGGUGAAGUCGUAACAAGGUAAC